rnacentral:rRNA from 1 species
AACGAACGCUGGCGGCAGGCCUAACACAUGCAAGUCGAGCGGACCCUUCGGUCCUAGCGGCGGACGGGUGAGUAACGCGUGGGAACGUGCCCUUUGCUUCGGAAUAGCCCUGGAAACUGGGAGUAAUACCGGAUGAGCCCUUUGGGGGAAAGAUUUAUCGGCGAAGGAUCGGCCCGCGUUGGAUUAGGUAGUUGGUGGGGUAAUGGCCUACCAAGCCGACGAUCCAUAGCUGGUUUGAGAGGAUGAUCAGCCACACUGGGACUGAGACACGGCCCAGACUCCUACGGGAGGCAGCAGUGGGGAAUCUUAGACAAUGGGGGAAACCCUGAUCUAGCCAUGCCGCGUGAGCGAUGAAGGCCUUAGGGUUGUAAAGCUCUUUCAGCUGGGAAGAUAAUGACGGUACCAGCAGAAGAAGCCGGCUAACUCCGUG